rnacentral:rRNA from 1 species
AGAGUUUGAUCCUGGCUCAGAACGAACGCUGGCGGCAGGCCUAACACAUGCAAGUCGAACGCCCCGCAAGGGGAGUGGCAGACGGGUGAGUAACGCGUGGGAACAUACCCUUCGGUUCGGAAUAACUCAGGGAAACUUGAGCUAAUACCGGAUACGUCCUGGCGGAGAAAGAUUUAUCGCCGGAGGAUUGGCCCGCGUCC